UACGAAGGGGGCUAGCGUUGCUCGGAAUCACUGGGCGUAAAGGGUGCGUAGGCGGAUUUCUAAGUCGGGGGUGAAAUCCUGGAGCUCAACUCCAGAACUGCCUUCGAUACUGGCGAUCUCGAGUUCGGGAGAGGUGAGUGGAACUGCGAGUGUAGAGGUGAAAUUCGUAGAUAUUCGCAGGAACACCAGUGGCGAAGGCGGCU
rnacentral:rRNA from 1 species